rnacentral:snRNA from 1 species
ACAAAUAAAAAGAAAGAA